CGUAGUUUGAGUCUGGGUGAGGGUGGCCCUGGCAGGAACCACCCACAGAUCGCCAGAUGGGGAUUUCACCAGUGGACUGGUGCUGGUGUGGCUGGCUCCGAAGCUUCCCUCCUCACACCCUGGCACAGUGAGAGCAGAGAGGGAUAUUUUCUAAGAAGAAGACAACCUAAGUGCUUAUUUCAAGCUUUCCUUCUUACUGUGCCAGAAUAUGGAAUGUAACCAGCUCCAUCUUUAUGAUAUACUGGGGCUGGCUGCAAAGCUGGUUUUGUGGAACAGGAAAUAUUUAUGCCUGGAUAGUAAAUGCAGGUCAGUGUUUGUUUUGUGAUAAAAAUAUACAGGACAAGCCAAAAAAUUCAAUGGCAGAAAGGUCAUAUACUGGGAAUAUCAGAAGAAAACUUUAAACCAGUGAUGUGAUGUAUCAUUAUUCAUGAAUAUUUUCAGGAAGAGACAGAUGGAUGAACUCUCAUUUUCUAUGGAAGGUUUCUUAUGGAGCUAGCAUUACCAUGCCAUGAUGAGAUAAGAUGAUACCACAGGAAAUUCAAGAUGGAAAAGGGCCAGAGCCAGGUCACUGCAGAGCUGAAAUCUGUCAAUCUAAAUUUCAGUUUAAGAGGCCCUCAUUUAAGACAAAUUCUUCCAUUCAGAAGAAUUCUUUUAAAGGCACUAUUAAAUGAGGCUUAAUAAUCUUUGGUUUGACAAUAACCAGUGGUAGAACCUAAAUGCAUGCUUAAUAGGACUGCAGCUGCACUCUGUCAGCCAUUUGUAUUUGUAGCUGGAGAUAAAUGUGUACAUUUUUCUUUUUUGUUUUGUUAUCAAAGGUUAUGGGCCUUUUAUAGGAAUGGGUGAGUGAUGUUCUGUAGCCUGUGAUGUGCUAGGGGACAGACUAGAUGUUCAUGAUGCUCUUUUCUGGCCUUAAAGUCUGAGUUUUUUUCUUGGAGCCAGCACUGCAAGGAAUAUAUUAAGUAACAGCACAGGAAACUCAGGGUGGACAAGGGCCAAUGCACCAGUUCACAGCAGAGUUGAAAGUUUGUCAGACUCCAUUUAUAUAUCCAA